rnacentral:rRNA from 1 species
GAAUUCGCCCUUAGAGUUUGAUCCUGGCUCAGGAUGGACGCUGGCGGCGUGCCUAACACAUGCAAGUCGAGCGGAGACAUAAAGGAGCUUGCUCCGAGAUGUUUUAGCGGCGGACGGGUGAGUAACGCGUGAGCAAUCUGUCCCAUACAGGGGGAUAACACUUGGAAACAGGUGCUAAUACCGCAUGAGACCACAACGUCACAUGGCGAAGGGGUCAAAGGAGCAAUCCGGUAUGGGGUGAGCUCGCGUCCGAUUAGCUAGUUGGUGAGGUAACGGCCCACCAAGGCGACGAUCGGUAGCCGACCUGAGAGGGUGAUCGGCCACAUUGGAACUGAGAGACGGUCCAAACUCCUACGGGAGGCAGCAGUGGGGAAUAUUGGGCAAUGGGCGAAAGCCUGACCCAGCAACGCCGCGUGAGGGAAGAAGGUUUUCGGAUUGUAAACCUCUGUCCUUGGGGACGAAGGAAGUGACGGCACCCAAGGAGGAAGCCCCGGCUAACUACGUGCCAGCAGCCGCGGUAAUACGUAGGGGGCGAGCGUUGUCCGGAAUGACUGGGCGUAAAGGGCGCGUAGGCGGCUCGGUAAGUUAGAAGUGAAAGUCCUGCUUUCAAGGUGGGAAUUGCUUUUAAUACUGUCGGGCUUGAGUGCAGAAGAGGUAAGCGGAAUUCCAAGUGUAGCGGUGAAAUGCGUAGAGAUUUGGAAGAACACCAGUGGCGAAGGCGGCUUACUGGGCUGUAACUGACGCUGAGGCGCGAAAGCGUGGGGAGCGAACAGGAUUAGAUACCCUGGUAGUCCACGCGGUAAACGAUGAA